rnacentral:lncRNA from 10 species
AUUUAAAUGGAGAAGUAGCUUGCCAGGACUCAAGCCAUCCUGCCAAACACAGGAACACAUCUGCAGUCCUAGGCUGCUUGGCCGAGAAACUAGCAGGUCCUGCAAGUAUAGGUUUACUUAGCCCAGGAAUACUGGAAUACUUGCUACAGUGUCUGAAGUUACAGUCCCACCCCACAGUCAUGCUUUUUGCACUUAUCGCACUGGAAAAGUUUGCACAGACAAGUAGGUAUAGUGACUUCUUGCACUAAUGAUCUUCUGUAUUGGUUGUUAAAAAUUUUAUUUUUCUUAGUUACUGGAUAAGCCUACACUUUGAACCCCAUCAGAUGGGCAUACAUUCUGUUUUCAUCUGGAUAGACACGUUAAAGCCAAUGAAGUAUAACAGGGACAAAGGCAAGGAUUUUCUCACCUAAGAAUCAAAACUUGGUAACCAUGUUUACUCACUUUUUAUAGCCAAAAAUUUAGUGAUGUGAUUGCUAGUUUCUAGAAAAAAGUAUGGUGGCUCUUGCCCAUAAUCCCAGCACUUUGGGAAGCUAAGGCCAGAGCAUUGCUUC